CCUACGGGGAGCAGCAGUGGGGAAUAUUGGACAAUGGGGGAAACCCUGAUCCAGCGACGCCGCGUGAGUGAAGAAGUAUUUCGGUACGUAAAGCUCUAUCAGCAGGAAAGAAAACGACGGUACCUGAAGAAAAAGCAUCGGCUAACUCCGUGCCAGCAGCCGCGGUAAUACGGAGGAUGCGAGCGUUAUCCGGAUUUAUGGGGUUAAAAGGGUGCGCAGGCGGAAUGUCAAGUCAGCGGUAAAAUUUCGGGGCUCAACCCCGUCGUGCCUUUGAAACUGGCGGUCGUGAGUGAGCGAGAAGUAUGCGGAAUGCGUGGUGUAGCGGGGAAAUGCAUAGAUAUCACGCAGAACUCCGAUUGCGAAGGCAGCAUACCGGCGCUCAACUGACGCUCAUGCACGAAAGCGUGGGUAUCGAACAGGAUUAGAUACCCCUGUAGUC
rnacentral:rRNA from 1 species